UACGUAGGUGGCAAGCGUUGUUCGGAAUUACUGGGCGUAAAGGGCGCGUAGGCGGCCUACUAAGUCGGACGUGAAAUCCCUCGGCUCAACCGAGGAACUGCGUCCGAUACUGGCAGGCUGGAAUCCGGGAGAGGGAUGUGGAAUUCCAGGUGUAGCGGUGAAAUGCGUAGAUAUCUGGAGGAACACCGGUGGCGAAGGCGGCAUCCUGGACCGGUAUUGACGCUGAGGCGCGAAAGCUAGGGGAGCAAACGGG
rnacentral:rRNA from 1 species